AUAUAACUAUAGGUAGCUAUGUACAUAUAUAAAACCAUCUAUGUAUUGUGAUAGAGUUUUCAAACCCUAGAACUGGAGUUACAGUCUGGGAAAUUGCUGGAUCCUCAACCACAGUUGGGGAGGGGCCCCAGGAGAUGUUCUGGAAUCUUGGGAGAGGAAGAGUUUCUGUCAGAGAGAGGCAGUUAGCUCUCAAUCCUGAGACAGCCUAAGGAAAGGUCUAUUCAAGACUUUGUUCCUGAGGAAAGAUUUACAUCUUUCUCCUGGUGAUUGGACAUCCUUCCCCCCAUCGAUUCCCAACUGGACUGGCCAGUGUGAGAAGACAUGAAGCAGCUGACAAGAUCACCUGACAACUCCUGGUGCCCUGGGUCUGGAUGGUGCCCAGGGGUGCCAAGACCAGGGCCAUCCAAGCCUGAAUCUCUCAGGACCCAAGCCUGCCAAAGACUGGGUUCCCCAACUUGAGGACAGAGGUCACCAAUAACAUAUGCAUCUAAAACAUUAGUGAAUCAAUUCAACUCACUAACUCAUGCAAUUGGAUUACAUCAGUGGUACAGAUAAUCCUAAACAAUAAAUAAUCAAAAGAUGAAUAUUAUUUGACUUUAAAGAACUGUGCCCAUCAUAUAAAAAAAACAACAACUACUAGUUCCUUGGCCCCUUCAUGUCAAAAAGAGAAGAAUAAAAGAAUCAAUAUCAGAGCACAGGAGUACUUUUAAUGGAUCAGACAGAUAUUAAGAGCUAAAAUGUUGCCACAUAUAUCACUACAACAAAAGAUAAUGGAAAAUAUUUAAUUCAAGGGCUGUUCAGAUGAAGUAACCAGUCAAUGUACCUCUACUACACCAACUCAAGAUUUUCUAAAUCCAGCAAAAAUGGAAAAAGACAAUGACAGUACAGGGCCAAAUGCAGAUGAGAAGAUAAGUAGCUGAUUUUGAAAGCAAAGGACCUAACAUAAGACAGUCAUUCUCCCUCCCCAGUGUAGGACUGAAUGCAUUGCUUAGUGAUUGCUUGAUUCCCCUCAGCUCGAUGAAUGGAAUAUCUGCUUUGUUCUAUGAAAUUGAUUCAUAGCCAAAGGCCUUUAAUACACAUCUGCUAUGAAUAUGACUUUAGCACAUUAGUGCUGUUUAUAUUAUUCCCUUUAUUCUUAAUACUAAUGACCAGAAAUGCAAAUGGCUUCAAAGAUGCCCCAUACUAAUUCCAAAAAUAUUGGGUACAAGGCACUAGAAAUUUAAACAGUGUUUGCUUCUACCAUGCACUGAAUUAUCAUUUGAAUCCAAAGGAUAUCAGUUCUGUAGUGAAGUGACUGACAUGCUCUGUUUAUUCCUGGUCGUCACGAUUUAUAUUAGAUCAGUAAACUAGUGGUCUAUUUAUGCGUGGGUUUUUUGUAUAAUUAUGUCUCACUUAUAUGCUCAGUCCAUAUAGGAAAAUCAUGAUUAGAUGCUUGUGUAUACAAUGUAUGUACACAAGAAAACAUUUCUUUUGGUCUGGCCAUAUCAUUUUGUGCCAAUCUGAAUGUUAACAUGACAGCGUUUUUUCCUGUCAAGGGAUUCAGGGUUAAUGUGGCUGUGUAAACAUCACGAGACCUGUGUUUUGGAAAAGCUUAGACAUUCAUGCUGUGUGCGGAAAUUAGAGAAUUGUCGUCCAGGGAGACUCCUUUACACAUAAACACUCUGAAAAUCACUUCUCAUGGUGUGGGGUUCAACUUUUCUAUCAUAUUUCCUGUUUCCUGCAUGUGAGAAUCAUCUCAUACACAUUACAAAGUUAACCCGAGUACUUACAUAAGACAAAACAUGAGUUGAACUUGGAAAUGGGAGAGUGAGAUAGAAUAUUAGAUCAUUAGUUUUGGAGGAGCUAAAUGCAACUGACAUAUUAUAGUAACUCCAAAGACUAACAGGAUGGCACUUGCAUAAAUAGAGGGAGAAAAGAAAAUAGAGAGUACAGAGAAUAAAGGAGGGUGGGCAGAGAGAAGGGGAAUCAGACAUAAGCAGGUCUUUAGCUCCUACAUUAGGUUAACUAUGGCUGAAGACAUAACAAAAUCUUACACAGUUCUAAAUAAUCUCAUACAGUUCUAAAACCAGAGUUUGGUCAGGUUUUUUUUUUUUAAUCUUAUAUGUCCACAGCAGAGUAAAACAAAACUUCUAAUACAAUGCAAUGGGGGAUAAAGACCUUCAGUUUAUUGGCAAGAGAGAGGGCAAAGAUAAUCAGUUCUUCCAUUUUCCCUCCCACCACCACCAGUGUCUAAAAUUGCCUUUUCUAGACUUAUUAAAGCCCCAAAGCCAUUCACGUGGCCUGGAAACUAGUUGCCAGCAACAUGACAAAAGUUGAAAAGAACUCAUCCAUCCUAAAUUUAUAAGGGAUAAAGCAUGGGGGACUUUCUAUUGGGGAAAAAAAAAGUUGGGGUAGAAAAAGAGAGGGAAACCAGUAAGAGAAAAGUACAGUACUAUCUAUCUAAGCAACACUUUUGUGUUUCAGUCAUUGGUGGCAAGGUCUUAAUAACCAAGUUGAAAACAUGGUCUAAGGAAUGAUGAUCUAGGUCUGUGUCAUUAAUGAGUUUUAACACUUUCCCAAGGGGGAAAAAGUAGCCAGAACAGAAAAUAGCUACAAUUAAUGGUCAAAGCAGCUCAUUAGAGAAAGAACAUUAAUAGCCUCAGAGUCAGAGAGUGAAGGGAAACAGUUAAUAUUCAAAGGAUGAUAACUUUAGAAAUUGACAUGAGUGGCAGUGGCAAAUAUGAACUGCAGUAGCAUGCCAAGGGGACUGUGAGAGGCAGAGCCAAGAAAUAAUAAGGCACAACAAAUCAUUGGGAGGCUGAAUCAUGAACGAUGUUCCAGGCACAACUCAAUUACCUUGGAAGAUGAGAAACCCAAGGACCAUCAUGGUAAUCUGUGGGAAAAUAUAGCCUUUCGUGUCUGGACUUAGGACUUGAAUCUAUACCAUCUCUUGUGUAUAGUUGGAAAUUCUUGAACCCCUAAAAACUACAUUUCCUAAAAUUCCUUUUCCCUUUUCUUGUACCCUCACAUUUACAUAAUUUUAUUUAAGUUUGCUGUGACUCCUCCCUCUUCCUCUGCUUCCUUGUGGUCAAGUUAAGCAAGUUUUACUCUAGUUGUUAUUAAUAAACU